ACGGAAUCCACCGAAGUUUGCCGAGUGUACGUCGGAUGUUAAUAUGACUACGCCAUCUUGUUGAUUAGAGAAGUGCAUGCGAUUUUGUGUUUUCAGAAACUAGGCUACUGGCUAGUAGUUUCAAGCAAAAGCAAUGGCAACCCUUUCACCAGAUGCGGAAAAUGAUGUUCAGGUGACAUUUGAAGAUCAACAAAAAAUAAAUAGAUUUGCUAGACACAAUGCCAGAUUACAAGAUAUUAAGGAAGAACUUGUUGCAAAAAAGAAAGAGGUACAAAAUUUAGAAGAUGCUACAGAUGAACUUGUAUUGGUAGAUUCAGACGAAUUAAUUCCAUAUC